UACGGGGGGAGCAAGCGUUUGUUCGGAUUUACUGGGCGUAAAGGGCGCGUAGGCGGUCAGCACAAGUCAGUUGUGAAAUCUCCGGGCUUAACUCGGAAAGGUCAACUGAUACUGCUUUGCUAGAGUGCAGAAGGGGCAAUCGGAAUUCUUGGUGUAGCGGUGAAAUGCGUAGAUAUCAAGAGGAACACCUGAGGUGAAGACGGGUUGCUGGGCUGACACUGACGCUGAGGCGCGAAAGCUAGGGUAGCAAACGGGG
rnacentral:rRNA from 1 species